UACGUAGGGUGCGAGCGUUAAUCGGAAUUACUGGGCGUAAAGCGUGCGCAGGCGGUUCGUUGUGUCGGCGGUGAAAGCCCCGGGCUUAACCUGGGAAUGGCCGUUGAAAAUGGCGAACUGGAGUGUGGCAGAGGGGGGUGGAAUUCCGCGUGUAGCAGUGAAAUGCGUAGAGAUGCGGAGGAACACCGAUGGCGAAGGCAGCCCCCUGGGCUAACACUGACGCUCAGGCACGAAAGCGUGGGGAGCAAACAGG
rnacentral:rRNA from 1 species